rnacentral:lncRNA from 1 species
CCCAGCUGUCACACACCAACAAGCUGAAGGUAGAGUGCAGGAUGCUUACAGCCCACACAUCCUCUAGAGUCAUAGAACUUCCUACUCUUCUCUGUCUGCUUCCUCUAACUGCCUGUGAAAUACCUGUACAAGACUCCAAAUGUAGUUUAAAAAUGUUGGUUAUUACCACUAAUUAGCACUUUGUAUGUAUGUAAACUGUGAUAAUUGUUUAUGGACAGUAUCAUUUCUACUUCUGUAUAACAUUGUUAUAACAUACCAUUGGUUGCAAUGUUAUGUUUUUGUGAAGUAAUAUGACGAAACGUAAAGGGCAUUCCUGUCAAAUUUGGAAUGCUGUAUCUAAGCUCAAAGUCCCGGAGCAGAGCCAGACCACUGGGCAGCAGAGUAAGAGUCUGGAGGAGCUGGAGAAGGGGAAGGCCCAGCUAGAGGAGAGGCUGACUACAGCCAGGACAGAUCUACAGAGCCAGGAGCACCAGGCCAGGGAGGCUCAGCAGCAGCUUACCACCCUCAGACAGACUCUGGCCCAGCUCACUGACAGUGAGAGAGAGGUGGGAGGAUGGAUGGAUACAUAGUCAUAUUAUCACGCACAGGCAUGCAUGCACAAAUGGAUGCACUCAUAGAAAGACAGAAACACACAUGCACACACACGUACAAACAGAAUGUCAUUUGAUUUAGGAGUACAGAAAAUAACAUCAGAAACCUGACUUGAGGUGUAUCUGCGCUAUUGUUUCAGUUGAUAGACUUCCGAAUGGUAGUCUCUCAGAUGUUAGGUCUGGACGUCACAGCCCUGAUGGUCUCUCAGAUGUUAGGUCUGGACGUCACAGCCCUGGUGGUCUCUCAGGUCUGGACGUCACAGCCCUGGUGGUCUCUCAGGUCUGGACGUCACAGCCCUGAUGGUCUCUCAGAUGUUAGGUCUGGACGUCACAGCCCUGGUGGUCUCUCAGGUCUGGACGUCACAGCCCUGAUGGUCUCUCAGA